CAGCAGCAGGGAUAUUACAGCUAAUACAACUCCCAUGACAUCUGGUUGGACCCCUCAAUGCGUCAGCUCUCAAAGGUAUGCUGGGAGGUACACAGACAACUCUCUCGUUUAGCAAAGUCAAUUCCUUUCUCCAGUGAUUCCUAAUUCUUAUUUCUCUUGUUUCAGUUUGAUUAUUCAGUUCAUGGAUCAUUGUUGGCAGGUG
rnacentral:misc_RNA from 1 species